AACGCACAUUGCGCCCGCCAGUAUUCUGGCGGGCAUGCCUGUUCGAGCGUCAUUUACACCCUCAAGCCUAGCUUGGUGUUGGGCGUCUGUCCCGCCGUUUUCGCGCGCGGACUCGCCUCAAAGUCAUUGGCGGCGGUCGUGCCGGCCCCUCGCGCAGCACAUUUGCGCUUCUCGGAGGCCCGGCGGACCCGCGCUCCAGCGAAGACCUUCCACGACUUGACCUCGGAUCAGGUAGGGAUACCCGCUGAACUUAA
rnacentral:misc_RNA from 1 species